rnacentral:rRNA from 1 species
GAUGAACGCUGGCGGCGUGCCUAAUACAUGCAAGUCGAGCGAACAGACGAGGAGCUUGCUCCUCUGACGUUAGCGGCGGACGGGUGAGUAACACGUGGAUAACCUACCUAUAAGACUGGGAUAACUUCGGGAAACCGGAGCUAAUACCGGAUAAUAUAUUGAACCGCAUGGUUCAAUAGUGAAAGACGGAUUUGCUGUCACUUAUAGAUGGAUCCGCGCCGCAUUAGCUAGUUGGUAAGGUAACGGCUUACCAAGGCAACGAUGCGUAGCCGACCUGAGAGGGUGAUCGGCCACACUGGAACUGAGACACGGUCCAGACUCCUACGGGAGGCAGCAGUAGGGAAUCUUCCACAAUGGGCGAAAGCCUGACGGAGCCACGCCGCGUGAGUGAUGAAGGUCUUCGGAUCGUAAAACUCUGUUAUUAGGGAAGAACAAAUGUGUAAGUAACUAUGCACGUCUUGACGGUACCUAAUCAGAAAGCCACGGCUAACUACGUG